AAAAGAAGCCACUGUAGGCCUUCUGUUGAGCAGAGUUUCGAGUGUUGCUCCGAGUUCUCAUACCAGCAAUGAAAUUAAGAAGCUGGAGGAGAGGAUAUCCUUCUGAAAUCAGCCCUAAUGACACAGAUUUGCACCUGAUGUUGACUCUAAGGAACCCCCUUUACUGGACCUCCAGACAGCUCAUUUGUUAAAGGGGUAAAGAGAUGAUCCAAUAUGGACAUUGGAUGGGAUAGUUUCAUGGGCAAGCAUCGGUCAGUCAAAGUAACCAAUCCCCACCCAGAUUGCAGCUCCUGAUUCACUAAAUACACAAACCAAAGGACCACCUUUCUUCACGGUUGUUUAGCAGCUCGUUUCCAAUUUCUCAUUCCUCGUCUUCCCAUCAGUUUUUUUACUGAGCACAGAAGACGCAGAUAUGAAUUGGAUCUUCUACUCAAUUCUCCUUACCAGUUCCCAGAAUCCUGCUCCUGUUUUUUAACACAGAGAAUUUGAAAGUCACUUGUGCAGUUAAGUCCAUGUAACACAGUUGGCACCUGUUAAAGCAUCCUAUACCUCCCUCUGUGGCCGCUUCUUGGUCUACAAAUUCAGUUUUAUUUAAGUUGGCUAACUCAGGUUCAUCUCUGAUCAUCUUGAAAGAAUCAUUCUCUUCUUCUUCCAGUGAGACGUCCCCGACUCUCUUAGGAUGUCAUAGCUAUCAUUACAGGUUCAGAGGUUCAGUCCAUUAUCAUCAAGAUGGGAGCAUGGCAGCAUCCAGACAGGCAUGGUGCAGACAGAGCUGAGAGGUCUACGUCUUCAUCGAAAGGCUGCUACUGGAAGACUGACUUCCAGGCAACUAGGGUCUGGAUCUUAUGCCCACACCCACAGUGACACACCCAUUCCAACCAGGUCACACCUAUUCCAACAAGGCCACACCUCCAGAUGGUGCCACUCUCUGGUCCAAGGAUAUAAAACCAUCACACACAUUUUGGUCUUUAUGUGGCUUCAUGGCUAUGAUAUGUCAUUCUAUCACUCCACUGGGUGCAUUCUUCUCAAGCCAACACUUUUUAUUGUUCUAUUAACAAAGACCAACAGGAAUAAUUUUAUUUCAUAGGGUAGAUCCAGAAAUGUCUAUUUACUAUUGUUCUUUCUAACAGCAUCAUGUAUGUAAUUCUAUGUCACAUGUAGUAUCAUGACUUCUGUCAUGAGAUAGCACGUUCUCCCUGAACUCCAAUCAUUGAGUUAAUGAGCUUUGUGUCAUGGUAACAAAUAAUAGAAGAUUAAUUUCUAACAAGAAAAUAUUUAUUUUGGAUUGGAUAUAAGGGGCUACAGUUCAUAGUUCAUGGCUCCCUUGCUUUGGGGCCUUUUUAGGGGAAUCAUGUCAUGGUGGGAAGUCCAUGAGAGAACGAAAGCAUUCACCUCAUGACUAGAAUAUAAAAGAGAAAAAGGAAGGACUGGGGCUCUGCUAUCUCCUUCAAGCCUAUGUCCCCCAAUUCCAUGAAGUUAAAUAUUAGACUAUUCUAUGUUACUGAAUUAAUUGGGAAACGGAGAAAAUUGGGAAACUAUAGGUUUUGAAUUGAUCACAGAACCCCUAAAAUAGAAACACUUCUCUGUACUAUGUCUGUCAUGUAAGCGGCUCUGAUCAUUAUAUCCAGUACUGACUGAGGAGACUGAGGGAGACACUUUUGGAUGGCUCCCAUAAGCAAAUCACAUUGCAUACCAGCAGUGUUUUGAAUUCAAAUUUGCUAAUAAUCGCUGCAGAUAAUUGUUAUAAUUUUGAGAAAUUGCUGCUGGCUUGUUAUCAGGCCCUAAAAGAGAACCAUUGGCUGUGGAAGGGAGAAUUUUCCUGAGUUAAUGAGCAUCAUCUAUAUCAUCUAUAUAUUUGUGAAGACAGGCGUUGUUCUUUAUCAUAAUAUGGAAGAGGCAUACAGAGUACUGAACUGAGCUCUGUGCUACACAGGCAAUCCUGUUUUAUCUAAACUGAUCUGACUAUCACAUUGCUGAGUGGCCAACCUGACAACAGGAGAGGCCAACACAAAACACAUGCUGGAUUCCAAUCUUUCGAGGGGUCCCUCAGCUGUCUGAUGGCACAUUAACUUUAUUAUACAAUCUGCAUAGCCAGGGGCAACACCUUGUUACUAUUGAAAAAGCAACUUACUUUGGGGUAUGGAAAUUUCUAUCUCAGUUCUUAGAGCUUCUGCCUAAACCCCCAUCCACAGAUUUACUGAACACCGAUUAAUAUUAUGAAAUUCUAUUGUUAUGAAAUUCUAUUGUUCUAAUGAAGGGACCUAAUAUGCUGCAUAAAGUGCAACUGAGUCCAUUCUUAGAGAAUAAUUUAUUACUCUCAUCAAGUUCAUUUUCAGUGUGAAGCAGCUGAUCUGGAAGAAUGAUUUUCUGGCAACUCAAGGAUGUGCCAGCUAGCUGUGGGACUUACUAUUCCAUAUAUGAUAUUAUUAUAGACCAGAUUAUAGAUUUCACGUACGAUGCUUUUUAUCCCAUAACCAAAAUUCAUGAGCCUGAGAACCACAUAGAAGAGAGUGUUACAAUUAGAACUCUGAGCCCAAAGACUAGAGUUUCCUUCCUUUCCCAACACAUUAGAUUUUGCUAGUCUUAUGUUCGCUAAGACCAAAACAGUAGUCAGAGAAGAAAAUGCUGCAUAACAUUUUUUUUGGCCAGGAAAUGUAUAUAUAUAUAUAUAUAUAUAUAUAUAUAUAUCAAUUUUUAUCACAUAGUGAUUCACCCUUUCUAAGUAAACAUUUGAAACAUCUCUAUUGAAUUAAUGAAUUUACAAAAUAGAGUCAAAGAAAUCUGAGCCUAACUUUAAAAAUAAUGCUUAAUAUAUUCUAUGGAGGUGAAAAAUACAGGAAAUAUAGUAGGG
rnacentral:lncRNA from 1 species